UUGGCUAGAAAAGAAAUUCAAAUUUGCCGCCUAAAUUUGAGUGUUGAGGUGUGUUCAAUGCUUGGUUUCGCAUUAAGUACCUUCAAAUUUGAGGGAGAAAAGGGGUGUGGGUGUUGGGUAGCCAGCACAUAUGCACAUAUCAGGUAAAAGUGUAAUGGGACUUGUGCAGGUGUUUGGGGUGACUUUGGACCUGUUAGAUGUGAUAUUUGGAGGUGCAAAGAAACCGGAUGUGCCAUUUUCCUAGAUUGUAGUAACUGCUGGUGCAUGCUGGGAGUCUAUACAAGCCUCAUGUUGUCAGAUGUUGUGAAGAUGCACUGGAUUUGACCGUGUGUGUUGUGGAUUGUGGAAUUGAAUAUACAGUUUGUAAUGGCUCAUCCUAUGUGUUCUAAUUCACGGAGACAAUGUCUUUCAGUCAUUUCACCCAAGGAGGCAUGCGUAUACGGAUUGAUAGGCUUUGACAACAAACAACCAAAAUGGCGGCCGGUGAAUUAGAAAGUGUCUGAGUGCAUGUAGGAUAUCUGAACGGAGAAUAGGAGUACUGCAUCCCAUCUGAUCCUGCAGUCAUUUCACCCAAGGAGGCAUGCAUACGGAUUUAGGCUUUGAAAACAAACAGCCAAAAUGGCGGCCGGUGAAUUAGAAAGUGUCUGAGUGCAUGUAGGAUAUCUGAACGGAGAAUAGGAGUACUGCAUCCCAUCUGAUCCUGCAGUCAUUUCACCCAAGGAGGCAUGCAUAUACGGAUUGAUAGGCUUUGACAACAAACAACCAAAAUGGCGGCCGGUGAAUUAGAAAGUGUCUGAGUGCAUGUAGGAUAUCUGAACGGAGAAUAGGAGUACUGCAUCCCAUCUGAUCCUGCAGCAUCAUCCUAAGGACCAGUGCAAGUUGAAAUGGGCUUCCAGCCAACAACUUCAACAGCAAUUUGCCAUGAAAAUCAGCAAGGAAGGUACUUCAUUUACAUUGAUGAUGUCAUAUCCCCUGGACCCCACAACUUUACAGGUUACAGAGAAAAUUCAAGAACUUCUGCAAAAUGUGGGACUUGGAUAGAAUCAAUAAUGUAUUUGUGAGCCCAGAGCAAUGGAUAUAUUGUGCAACAUACUAAAGUGUGAAUUUAAUGGAAAACAAGUACAUGUACUCAUGUAUUACAUGUCUUUUUUAAAGACAAUAAUAUUGUAUAAAUAUAGAGGAAGUGUCAUUGUUGAUUAUUCUAAGUUUUUGAUAUAUCAAAAUCAGUAAACAUUUCUAAAUGAAAAUAAAAUACCAAUUUUAUAACUUUAA